CUCUUACUUAUAUAUUUGUAAGUAAUACCUGCUCAAUGAAUAUUUAAAUAGCCGCGGAAUUUUAACUGUGCUAAGGUAGCAUAAUCAUUAGUCCCUUAAUUAGGGACUUGUAUGAAAGGUAAAACAUUUUAAUCUCUUUCUUUGUCCUUAAAUUUUAAGUUAAAUUAAGAAUAAAAAUGUUCUUAUUUUUAAAAUAGACGAUAAGACCCUUUUGAACUUUACUGAUGUUUAGCUGGGGCAGCUAAAUAAUAAUAAUCUUACUUUAUAUAUUUUAUUAGAUGACCCAAAACAUUUGAUUAGUAGAUCAAGUUACCAUAGGGAUAACAGCGUAAUUUCUUUUUAAAGCUCUUAUUAAAAAAGAAGAUUGCGACCUCGAUGUUGAAUUAAUGUCUCUUUAUAGUGCAAUAACCUUAAAAGUAGGUCUGUUCGACCUAUAAAACAUU
rnacentral:rRNA from 1 species